rnacentral:lncRNA from 1 species
UUUCUUAUUUAGUUGACAUGUGUCCAUUCAUUUACUCAAAAAUUAACACCGUUAACCUUCAAUGUAUUAAUAUGAAAAAGCUAAACAUAAAAUAAAAGAUAAAGAAAGGAAAAUGGUAUUUCUCCCUCGUCAGCGCUGGAGCUCUUGGUCUCACUGUUAAAACUCAUCGUAACCACCCUCUUCCCCUCCUACUCCCUCGUCACCACCGCAACCCUUGGGUCUCGCUGUUAAAAAAGGAAAAUGAUAUUUCUCUCUCCUCUCUCCUCUCUCCUCUCUCCUCUCUCCUCUUCCUCACCCUCUCUCGCCAGGAUCUGUUAAAAAUUUCUGGUCCCCUCUCUCAAACCAUGAAAAGGUCAUGGACUCAUGGCUCCGAAUUUACAAAAACUCCAUUAAAAACCUAUCAAGCAAACCCGAUAGCUCAUAGAGCAAAAAAAAUACAAAUUAUUCACGAUUCUAGAACAUGUAUUUACAUUCACAAAUUUCCGAUGGAAAAUUUUUAGAGAAAAUUAAGAUAUAGGGAGAAAUCCAUAAGAAAAAACUAAGUUUGGAAAAGAGAGACAAAAUCAAAUUGUGGGUUUACUCCAGACAUUUUCUAGUUCCGAAAUUCAAAUCUUGAGUUGUUUCUUCCAUUUGCAGAUUCAAAUCCUCCGUUCCCCAGUGUAUUUCAAUGAAUAUUUUCCAAUUGACAAUCAUAGUUACCAAUUCACUUGAUCCGGUGCUGUUGGUUUCCAAUCGGUAACCACGGUUGUGAAUUGGAAAAUAUCCAUCGAAAUAAACUAGAUCAAGUGAUUUGGAACCUUUGAAAAUAUCCAUCGAAAUACACUUGAUCCGAUUUGAUUUAGGCCAUUGGAUGAUAUUUUCCACCAAGAUCACCGGAUCAAAUGAUUUGGGCCUUUGAAAUUUCAUCAAAUGACCCACCUAUUUUGACCCUUUAAAAGUUAUAAUAAUUUUUUACCGUUGGAUAAAAUUUUAAAGAUUCAUAUAACUUAAUCCGGUGAUUUUGGUAGAAGAAAUCCAAAGAGGAUCUCUUUCCAAAAGAAAAGGCCAAAGGUUUGUUGAGGUGGGCCACUACCUUCAAUAUGCUUUCAUUAUAUUAUUUUGGGUAAAUUACGCAAAACUACCUGAAUUGUAGAUUGAACGACACUUUCAUACCUCAUCUUUUAAAAGUGACAAUGUUAUACCUCAUCUUACGAAUUUGUGCCAAUGUCAUACCUUCGUCAAUUUUUCUGUUAAUUUUUCUGUUAAAUGCUGACCUGGUCAAAAACAUCUAACAUGAUUAAAAAAUAAUUAAAUAUAUUUUUAAUAAUUAAAUAUUAAAAAAACUAAAAAAAAAAUGGUAGGGAUCUGACCUUCCCUUUCCUCCACCCGCACCAACCUUUUUUCUUCUUCUCUUCGAC